AUGGAAAUGGCAGGAACUCAUUCUAUCUCGGAGUUCUACCAUGGGAGGAGUAUUUUCAUCACUGGAGCCACUGGUUUUAUGGGGAAAGCCCUCGUAGAAAAGCUGCUGAGAUCAUGUCCGGGAAUAAAGAAUGUUUACAUUCUCAUAAGACCAAAGAGAGGCAAAGAUGUCAGCCAGAGACUGGAGGAAUUGCUUGCAUCAAAGCUGUUUGAGAAACUAAAGAGACAGGACCCAGAUUUCAGUAAGAAGGUGAUCCCAGUGACGGGGGAUAUCCUCCAUGAAAACCUGGGGGUCAGUCAGAAGGAUGAGGAGAGGGUCAUCAACGAUGUCUCUGUGGUCUUCCACUCGGCGGCCACAGUCAAGUUUGAUGAAGAAAUGAAGUUGGCUGUUGAGAUGAAUGUUGUUGGAGUAAAUAGAAUGAUACAAUUUUGCAAGAAAAUCAAAAACUUGGAGGUGCUCCUACAUGUUUCCACAGCUUAUUGCAACUGCAAUGUGAAGUACAUAGAUGAAAAAGUUUAUGAGCCUCCACUUGCACCUCACAAAUUACUGGAUGCUUGCGAAUGGAUGGAUGGAGAUGUUUUAAACACCCUGACACCAAAGAUGAUCGGCAACAGACCAAAUACCUACACCUACACCAAAGCCAUUGCGGAGUAUCUGCUGUACCAGAAUAAAGAGGAAUUACCUGUGGUGAUUUUUAGACCGUCUAUCGUUGGCGCCUCUUGGAAUGAACCUGUCCCAGGAUGGGUAGAUAACUACAAUGGUCCUACAGGAUUGUUAGCAGCAAUUGGAAAUGGUUUGCUGAGAGUUAUGAAGGGGGACUUUUAUGGUACUUCAGAUAUCAUUCCAGUAGACAUUGCCUCCAAUAUGAUGAUAGCAGUAGCCUGGGAUAAUGUUGUUUAUAAAUCAGAUGAAUUAAAGGUAUACCAUUGUACAACAGGGCAAAUGAACAAGUUUACAUGGGGACAAAUGGAGCGAAUGUCUCAUGAAUGCUUCAUGAAAAACCCUGUCAACACAGUAGCCAGGAUCCCCAAUCCUCGCUUUACCAAAAGCUAUGUGUGGCAUGAGGUCUGUGUGCUGUUUGACCAUGUUUUACCUGCCUAUCUGAUGGACAUGAUGAUGUGGGUCUCAGGCAAACGUCCCAUGUAUGUACCAGUACUCCUAUACUUUUUGAAAACUGUUUUCCUGACAACAUGCCCAGUUAACGGACAUGCAUGUAUAUUAAGACAAGACAGGAAAAGUUACACACCUGCUACCAUUUGCAUGAACAUGUAAUAAAGCUGCAUUUACAGGAAAUAUUUGCAUGUUAAUUUAUAAUUCUUUCAUCAAAUUUUUGAAAUUUUAUUGACUUAUUGAAAUUUUUGACUUGUGAAAAUGGAAGAGGGUAUUGUUGGUGUUUUAUCUCAAGGGUGUGUAAAUAUUGAAACAUUGAGUUGUGUAUUCAAGAGUUGGAUAGUGACAAUGUGUCAAAGUACAUACAUUCUCUGUGUAUGCAUUCUAUGUGUACAUGAAGGUCACAUGGUGUUAUAUCACUAUAAGGUUACCAGGUCAUGUUCUGAAUCGGGGUCAACACCUGGCAGGUUGUGUAAGCUGUGUGUAGAUCUGACAGAUUAUUUUGUGUAUUUAAAAGAUAACCAGGUGUAUAUAGUGCUAUGGUCAGGUUUCAUAAUGUAUUCAUAUGAAUAUUUAUGUACGGUAUUUAGAAAGCAAUUACAUGCACACACACACACCAAAAACAAAUGCUCUAUAAACGCUCAAUUAAAAUGGCUAGAUCAUUAAUAAUGAGAAUUACAUGUUUCAAUAAAAAAAUUCAUUUUUUGUACAUGAUUUGAUCUUUUACUUCAAGAUUUGUCAAAAUCCAAGACAAGUUGAGGAAAGCGGUGGGGAGCCUGGACUACUUCACUCAGAAUGAGUGGGUCUUCUCCAACAAGAACCUUGAUGACCUUUUGAACAAAAUGACACCAGAGGACAGAAAGACCUUCAACUUCAAUGUGAAAAGUAUACACUGGCCUACGUACAUGGAGUCCUACUGUCUUGGCAUUAAACGAUUUGUUCUCAGGGAGGAACUUUCCGAGUUGUCCAAAGCCAGACAAACCCUCAAAAGGUUGCAGAGGAUAAACUUUGCAGUGAAUGUGUUCCUUUUUAUCGCGGUGUGGAGACUUCUGAUAAACCGUGUGGCAGUAGCAAGGACUCUGUGGAACUUCCUGUUGGGCUGGGCUAUCCGCAUCUUCAAGCGCAUGCCAAAGGUGGCCAAGUCCUCAUGAUACACCAUCCAAGACACAAACUGAACAAGCAACUGUGAUAAUCUCUACAGGUCCAAAGAAUUAACAACUUUACACAUAGUUGGGAUUGACACUCGUAUAUCUUUGAUUUACCAAACUGAAUUCAUUCAGGGAUAUAGUAGACACUUGCAUGUAUGUCAAAUAAAAGAAUUACAUGUACAAAUUGUCAGUGGAAUAUCAGAAAUAAAUUAUUUAUAGAC
rnacentral:misc_RNA from 1 species